GUACAUGCAUAGUGCAUGUAUGAGCCAUGAUAUACAGGUGUGCAUGCAUUUGGAUGGGGAGGGUAUCAGGUGUAGUGUUGGCGAAUUUCAGGAAGCAUGGUGGUUUUAAAGGAUGCAAUGUCUGAGCAACUAACAACUGAUACCGGAAGUUUGUUCCAUGCUUCAGCAACUCUGAGUG